rnacentral:misc_RNA from 1 species
GAUAUACGAAUAAAGGAAAUUCAUGAAGCAAAUAAUUAAUAAAAGUUGAAAAAUUUACACGGGACGUGACAAUUCCAUAUUCACGUUUCAACAGAGGCUACCACUAUAUUCUCACCGUCAUCGAUGUAUUAGGGUGCGGUCCCAUGGACUGAUAUUUUCCGCGUAACGCGUAUCGCGUAACCAAUCAGAAACGUUCCGCGUUUUCUGUUACGCUCGUUUUCAAAAGUUGCGUAGUACGCGAGUUUGCGCGACUUAUGUGAGCGUGGUAUGGCGUGGUACUCAGGCGACAUGGAGGCAUCUCAAAUAAAAUGUGGUUAUUGUAGUUGGCUGCUAGCAUAUCAUUGUAAAAAUAUAUUGGAACAUGAAUGUUUUAAAGAAUACAAUGAAAAUGUUCAUGCUUUGAACAUCGACGAAAAUAAUGUAGCUACUAUUGUGAACAAAUUUGAUGAAGAUGACCUAUUGUCUCAAGAUACAGACUGCAAUGAACUAUCAUCUCAGAGUUUAAAUACAGACUUUGAUGAACGUUUAAUAACGGCAGUACUAGAUAGACCACCAUUAUAUGAUCAUCGAUUAAAUGUUAAAGAAAGAUCUAAACUAAAAAAGGCAGCAUUGUGGGAGGAAGUAACAUUAGUACAAAAGAAUUACAAAAGAAAUGGAAGUAUCAUCGUGAUUGUUAUAUUCGCGCAAGAAAAAAAGGAAAACAGUAUGUUCCAAGUGGAUCUAGUGCAGCUUCAACAGAUGUAAGAAGUACUUAUAGAUUUUUUGAUCUAAUGAGACCCUUGGACGAUACAUUUCAGACUACAUCAACAAUAAGCACAUUGAUAAAGAGCACACCUGAAAAAAUAUCUGUAAAGGAAAAAGAAAAAAGAAGUAAGGACUUAUCCGAUUGUUCAGAUGUUGAGUCAGAAAUAUGUUCUGAACCGUCAACUUCAUUUCAAAA